rnacentral:tRNA from 1 species
UGGGGCGUAGCUCAAUUCGGUAGAGCAGCGGUCUCCAAAGCCGCCCCGUGCAGGUUCAAGUCCUGUCGCCCUGG